UUAAAUCUUAAACUAUAAAUGUGAACAACAGAGAUAUGAUAGAUCUUUGGACUUUAUCAAGUGUAAAGAGGAAUACAUUGUUUAUUUGGUUUGGUAAAGCAUCCACACUUUGGUGAAAGUUUUUGACCCUGAGCAUAGAUACUUCCAUUCCAGUCUACUGUGAUGAAUAAGAGUGUAAACAAAGUAAGUGAUAUAAAAACACAAUGUAACAGAAAUGACUGAAUAUAGUCACCACAUGACAGUAUUUUUAUACUACUGCUGUUUCCUAAACAUUAAAGGGAUACUACACCAAAAAAAAAAAAA